CGCUACACAUGCAGUCGAGCGGUAACAGGGGGUGCUUGCACCCCGCUGACGAGCGGCGGACGGGUGAGUAAUGCAUAGGAAUCUGCCCAGUAGUGGGGGAUAGCCCGGGGAAACCCGGAUUAAUACCGCAUACGCCCUUUGGGGGAAAGCAGGGGAUCUUCGGACCUUGCGCUAUUGGAUGAGCCUAUGUCGGAUUAGCUAGUUGGUGGGGUAAAGGCCUACCAAGGCGACGAUCCGUAGCUGGUCUGAGAGGAUGAUCAGCCACAUCGGGACUGAGACACGGCCCGAACUCCUACGGGAGGCAGCAGUGGGGAAUAUUGGACAAUGGGGGCAACCCUGAUCCAGCCAUGCCGCGUGUGUGAAGAAGGCUUUCGGGUUGUAAAGCACUUUCAGUGAGGAGGAAAACCUUCUGGUUAAUACCCAUGAGGCUUGACGUUACUCACAGAAGAAGCACCGGCUAACUCCGUGCCAGCAGCCGCGGUAAUACGGAGGGUGCAAGCGUUAAUCGGAAUUACUGGGCGUAAAGCGCGCGUAGGUGGUUUGAUAAGCGAGAUGUGAAAGCCCCGGGCUUAACCUGGGAACGGCAUUUCGAACUGUCAGGCUAGAGUGU
rnacentral:rRNA from 1 species